CGCCCUGGCCGCAGCAGCAGUGCCACCCGCGGCCUGCGCCGCAGCGCUUAACGAGGUCAGCGAAGUUCUCUGUUACGACUUGUUAGCUAUUGUCAGAUGCCCAACUGUACAAGGAUGUGAGGUUCUAACUAAUUCAGAUGGCAGUACUGGAAUUGUUGCGGAGAAACAAGAAGAGACUUUCUGCAGGAAAGAACAAACAUUGCCUCAGUGGAAGAAAAAGGGAACAGAAGCAAACUGAAAAUGUUUGUACUUUCUAAAGGAAGAAAAAGUCAAGAUGUUGUCUUUCAAGGAUGACUGUUCUUCGGGUACAUUGGUUGGGAUGCAAUCAGCAAUGAAUUUUAGUCCCUAAAGUGCCUCAGCGGGUGAAGAUGUGAUUGUGGAAUAAAGAGAGCCAUGGAAAUUCAAAAUGAUGAACAGCUCAACAAAAACUUACAAUCUACUGGCAUUAUGAAGAAUAUCAGAAUAUUAUUAA